rnacentral:rRNA from 1 species
UACGGAGGGUGCAAGCGUUAAUCGGAAUUACUGGGCGUAAAGCGCACGCAGGUGGCUGAGUCAGUCGAUUGUGAAAGCCCUGGGCUUAACCUGGGAAUUGCAGUCGAUACUACUCGGCUCGAGUAUGGGAGAGGGCAGUGGAAUUCACGGUGUAGCAGUGAAAUGCGUAGAUAUCGUGAGGAACACCAGAGGCGAAGGCGGCUACCUGGACAAUUGCUGACGCUCAGGCACGAAAGCGUGGGGAGCAAAAGGG